AGCGAACGCUGGCGGCAGGCUUAACACAUGCAAGUCGAGCGGGCACUUUCGGGUGUCAGCGGCGGACGGGUGAGUAACGCGUGGGAACGUGCCCUCUGGUUCGGAAUAACUCAGGGAAACUUGAGCUAAUACCGGAUACGCCCUUUUGGGGAAAGGCUUGCUGCCGGAGGAUCGGCCCGCGUCUGAUUAGCUAGUUGGUGAGGUAACGGCUCACCAAGGCGACGAUCAGUAGCUGGUCUGAGAGGAUGAUCAGCCACACUGGGACUGAGACACGGCCCAGACCCCUCGGGGAGCCAGCAGUGGGAAUUAUUGAAAAGUGCGCCAAAGCUGAACCCACCCAUGCCCCGUGAUUAUUAAGGCCCUUAGGGUUGAAACUCUCUUUUAUCCGGACCGAUAAGAACGUUCCGGGAGAAAAAACCCCCGGCAAACUUCGUC
rnacentral:rRNA from 1 species